rfam:Prunus persica cultivar Lovell chromosome G8, whole genome shotgun sequence.
AGAUGCGAUCAUACCAACUCACAUGCACCGAAUCCCAUCAGAACUCCAAAGUUAAGUGAGUUUGUGUGAGAGUAGUACUAGGAUGAGUGACCUCCUAGGAAGUUUUCGUGUUGCAUCCC